rnacentral:rRNA from 1 species
AUGCCCCGUGGGCUUCUCAUCCCUCGCUCCCUCGCUCCCCUGCCGCCACCCGCGAGGCGUCGGGGAGGGUUCCCGAUCCCGGCCGUCGCACCCCCCUCCUCCUCCCUCCUCCGCCCUCGCCGCCGCCAAGGGGCGCGGCCUGGCGAAGCCCGGUCAUCGCCGGCGGCUGCGGGGCUCCUUCGUCCCUCGCCCCGUAGGGUUUGGCGCGGGCCAGAUCUAGCGGCUGGGCGCGGCGCUCGAUACCGGGCGCGGCGGCGCCCCGGAGCAGGCCGGCGAUGGUGGCGUUCGACGGGCGGCGGGCUGCAUGGUGGUGGCGUCGGCGGCGGUGCCCCCGGCAGCGCUUCGGUGUCGCGUGUCGCGGUUGACCGGGCCGCGGGCGGCCCUCUCGCCGUGGUGCUUUGGUGGGGGGCGCGGCAGCGGUGGUGGUGGGCUGCCCCCACCCAGUCGGGCCCUCGCGGCUGGGUGGCGGCGCUCGACUCGGGUGGAUCCCCCGGUGGCGUCUUCAGGUGGCGUUGGAGGCGGCCCCGCAACCCUCCCUCUUCGGCUUCGGGCGACGGCCGAUGCCUCCUGAUACUCUGGCCCUUUGAAACGGGGGCGGAACUCGGUUCCGGGAGGAAGUUGGAGCCGACAUGGGUGUCGGUCGUAGCCAUGGGCCACUUCUCUGCCUUCCCCUUCCACCGAUCAAUGUGGUCGCGGCUCUCCUCGAGGCAGCUUGGCCGGCGGUGGAUCUGGAGGUGGUUGGGGUCGUGGAGGGCAGAGGAAGACAAGGGACCCGUCCAGCCCGAUGCCGCCGGCCGCUCAGUGCCAAACUCGCGAGGCAACUCGAGUCAAUUCACUCGUGCCGCGUUGACUUGGCCCGGGAUGGAGACGUCCCUGCAGGAGAUGAGAGCAGAGGGGAGGAUCUCAUCUCAGACGGUGGAACUACCUCACCUCACAAGUCUGCAUCGCUGUCGCCGUCGCCCCGCACGCGCACCCCGCACGCGGAUGGAUCACUACCUCUAG